AUGAGUAUAAAUGAAUCAUGUUGAUAUUUGUAUUACAAGUUGUUCUGCAAGGAGUUAUUUGUACAAUUCAAUUUCGCAGUCAAGAUUAUUAUGUAGAAGAAAAAAAUUACAACAGUGUAGAUGUUUUUGUGGAUUCUAGUAAAAUACAGCUUGAUGAUAUUAUGUUUCUUUGCGAGUUAUCAUCAAAUGCGUCAAGUGAUUUUUUAAUCUUAGAUGCUGUUGGGAAAAUUAAAGCUUCUACUUCAUCUGGUUUUUGUCAAUUUACAAUUAUAGAUGAUGACAUUCCUGAAGCAAGCGAAACGUUCUCUGUUUCAUUGAAACUUCUUCAUGGCAACACUACUGUUCAGCCAAAAAAUGUUAUGAUUACGAUUCUUCCAAGUGAUAACCCAUUUGGUUGUAUCGGUUUUUUAACUCCUGCAAAUGUAAUUACAUUGUCAGAGCCAAAUGAUGGGAAUGAAAAAGUAUAUGCAAAGUUUUUAUUAAAAAGAUAUGGCGGUACAAUAGGAGAAAUGGUUGUCACAUGGAAGAUCUUGCAAAAUACUCAAGAUGUCUAUCCAACAGAAGGGAUUAUUAAUUUUAUCCAGGAGCAAUCAAAUGAGACUCUGGUUAUAGAAGUGCUGCCAGAUAAUAUUCCUGAAGCUGAAGAAAUAUUUUCAAUCACAAUAAAAAGUGCUAGUGAAGGUGGGUGCAUAUUGACAAACGCAAGUGAGGCUGAACUGAGAAUAAAAGAAAAUGAUGCACCAAUCCAAUUUCAGAGUUUUCAAACCUAUGGUUUUGAAGGUUCUAUUUUAAAAGUAAUGGUGUUAAGAGGACUGGACCUUUUUGGGAGUAGAGUCGGAUCAAUAUCCGAAUAUGCUUCUGUGGUUUAUAAAACUGUUCCUUUAUCUGCAACUCCAGGAAGUGAUUAUCUAGAUAUAUCUGGAGUGCUUGUAUUUGAGAGUGGGAUUACUAGAAAAGAAAUUUCUAUUCAAAUAUUUAGUGAUCUGAUUCCCGAAUUAAAAGAAACUUUUAAAGUUGUUUUGUUUAAUGCCUCAAAUGGAAUUUUAGGAAAUUUAACUGAGAUUGUUGUUGAAAUACCAGAGAAUGAUGACCCAUAUGGACUAUUAGUAUUUGAUCAGUCUUUAGUUGUUAUUGAAGAAGAUCAGGAUGCAUUUGUUAAUGUUUAUAUCAAUCGAACUCGCGGUAGUUUUGGAAACAUUUCAGUAUUUUGGAAAAUAAAUGGAACAAAUUUAGACUCUGUUUUUGAAGAAACUUCAGGUUUUCUGCAAUUUUUAUCUGGUGAAAUAUUUAAGAAAAUUCUUAUAAAAGUAACAAAGAAUAAUAUUCCUCAAGAAGCAUCAUUAUUUACAUUAGAGCUGGUUAAUGUUACUGGAGAGGCAAGGUUUGAAAACUCUGCAUUUAAACCAACAGUUCAGAUAAUUGUUACUGAUAAUGACAAUGCUUAUGGUACCUUUGGAUUUUCUUCAGAGGAAACAGCUGUUUUUUUAUCUACAACUCCACGAAGUUUAAGCAUAAAGCUAAUACGAGAAGGUGGAACACUAGCGGAUGUUGCUGUUUAUUAUUCCAGCUAUUAUUUUUUCAAAAGUUCUAUUAAUAUGUCUUCAUCAGCAAUUGUAAAUCCAAAUGGAACUGUUGUUUUCAAAUUUGGACAAUCAGCUCAAUUUAUAGUUGUAGAAAUUAAAAAUGAUGUUUUUUUAAGUGCAGAUUCUUAUUUUAUUGUCGAGCUUGAUAGCAUUAUGAUUUCAAAGUCAACUCUUGUUCCACCAUCAUCACCACAAUUAAGUAUAGAAAGGUCAAAGAGAAUUAAUAUUACUAAUAACUUUGCAAAUGGUGAAAUAGGAUUUUAUAAUAUUCCAGUAUACAUUUAUGUUUCUGAGCCAAGUGAAGGUUACAUUGAUGUCAAUUUAACAUUAAUGCGUGAUGGAACAGCAUCUAACACUAAAGUCUUGUGGAAAAUUUCCAGCCCAAAUCCAAUGUUAACAAAAGAAGAUGUAGAAUCUUUAAAUGGUUCUGUUAUUUUUAAAUCAGGAAUGGAUCGAGUGAAUCUCACUAUUCAUAUAUUGGCAGAUAAUGUUCCUGAAUUAGAUGAAGAAUUUACUGUAGAACUAGUUGAACUCAUUGGUAUCAGUGAUAGAUUGAGAGGAGGAGCAAAUGUGGCUCAAGUAACUAUUUUUCAAAAUGAUGAUCCUGGAGGAAUAAUUAGCUUCUCUAAUGUAGAUCCAAUCUUAUUAGAGGAAAAUUCAUUUACAGAAAUUGAGAUAAUUAGAACUGGUGGAUUGUUGUUGCUUCAACAAGUAUUUUUUGAAGUAGUAUUAGGUAGCAUGGAUUUUCAACAAUAUAAAGUAAUAAUAACCUUUCCAGUUGGUAUAUCUAUGAAAAAACAACUUUUGAUUCCUAAGGAUGAUGAUUUGCCAGAGCUCAAUGAAACAUUUACUGUUACAUUAACUUCAAUAUCUGGAUCGGUUCUUGGAAUGAACUCUACUUUUAAUAUUACCAUUUUACCUAGUGAUGACCCUUAUGGAUUGAUUUCAUUUAAAAGUAAUUAUGAAAACAUAAAUAGAGAAGUUUGUGAAAAUAAAAUUCAGUCUGUUCCAGUUUCUUUUCUUGUGAUGAGAAAUAAAGGUUUGUUUGGAAAGUUGCAAGUCACGUGGAUAGUAUAUGAAGUAAAUAACAUAAAUAAUACAAUGUCAGCAGAAAAAGAUAUCUUACCUGUGUCUGGUGUUUUGACAAUAGAAGAAGGAAAAGAUUCUGCUUCUAUUACUAUUUUUAUACAGAUGGAUGAGGAACCAGAAGAAGAUGAAACAUUUUUUGUUAUAAUAGAAAGUGUUAAAGGCGGAGCUACUAUUAAACAUCCAUUACAGGCAGUUUUGAAGGUUCCUGCAAAUGAUUUUCCCGUUACAGUUACACCUUCUACAAUCAACCUGAUCGAAGGAAGCAAUACAAAUUUAAGCAUUCACCUUAGUAAAAUGUUUUCUGAAGCUGUAUAUGUUGGUAUAAAAAUAAACUUUAUAAAUGCGUCAGAAAAUGAUUUUUCUCCUAUAAAAAAAACCAUAACAUUUUUGCCUUUUGAGACAGAAAAAUCUAUUACACUACAAGCAAUAACAGAUGGCGUUCCAGAGUUGAAUGAAACGUGUAUAUUCUUUCUUGCUUCCACUACUGGUGAUACUGUAUUAUACUUAAACUUUUCUAGUGAAGUCACAAUUUUAGAAAAUGAUGAUCCAUAUGGGGUAUUUUGCUUCAGUGAUAUAAAUCCAAUUUACACUGAAGAAGGGAAAAUCGUAAAUAUAAGAGUUAUUCGUCAGAUGGGUUUAUUCAAAAAUGUAACUGUUCAUUGGAGUACUGAAAAAGUAAGCACAGAUUUGUUUUUAGAGUUGGAUUUAGGAAACUCAAGUGGGACAUUAUUUUUUGAGAAUGGCCAAAAGGAAAAUACAAUCAGUAUUUUUGUCAUAGACGAUAAUAUACCCGAGUUGGAAGAGAGUUUUAUUGUUCAGCUUUUAGGUGUUACAGGGGCAAAUGCACAACUUGGAAUGAACAAAACUUUAAAAGUAAAUAUUCAAAACAGUGACUAUCCAAAUGGUGUUUUUGAAAUCAAUUCAAAUCUUUCUACUAGCUUACUUGCUGAGGAUAAAGAGGAUUCACCUUUAAAUGGACAAAUUAUAUUCGAGCGCAAAUAUGGGAGUUUUUUUUCAGCAAAGAUAAUCUGGCAAGUUUAUGCUACUUAUAAUAAGCAAACAACAGGAUAUGUUGCUUGGGAUUUGUUGUUUCAUGCAAGAAAUAAAAAAAAUGUUUUAAAAACUCAAAGUGUCAGAAUGCAUUCUUCAACAGCAGCAUACUACUUUAAAAAUGGAUGUGUAGCGAUAAACAUGACUGACUGUCCUUUCAAGAAUUUUGAUUUUGGAUUCUCAGUUGGGGUAUGGUUUAAAACAAAUGUCUCAACUCACAGUAUGUCUUUGUUUAAAAAGACAUCAAUUGAUGGAAUUGUCACUAUGGAUAUUUCUUUAGACAUGUCAAAGUUUUUUUUGCUGCUCAACAAGAGUGAGGCAACAAAAAACAAACAUAAUCUGGAGUGGGUGACAGAAUGGCACUCUUUUUUCAUUUCUGUUAAAUCUACUAUUUUUACAAUGUAUUUGGAUGGAAAUGUUUUGAUAAAUAGCUCUUUACCUGAAGUUACACUGAAACUCACAGAUCAAAUUUCAAUAGGAUGUGGACGAUUAUCACCAUUUGAUGGUUUUCUUCAGGAUUUCAGACUUUAUCAAGGAUUCCUUGAUGUUUGGGAUAUCAGAGCAGUUCAUCACAUUUAUCCAGUCAUCUCUCCAUCAAAUGGAGAGCUUUUUUUUGAUGUUGGAGAGACAAAAAAAGUUGUUUAUAUUCAAAGUGUUGAUGACACCAUGCCAGAAGCAGAUCAACUUUAUGAUGUUGGUAUUAUUGAUGUUAAUGAUGAUUUAGUUUUUAAAGACAAAGCUAUUAUCAACAGUGAAAAGUCUAAGAUUGCGAUUAAUGUCUUAAAGAGUGAUUUUGCAAAUGGAAUUUUUUUAUUGGAUAAAGCUACUUGUAACCAAGUUAUAUCUGAAAAAUCACAUGGAAUAAACAUUACUAUAAACAGAGUCCAUGCUUUAUUUGGUAAUAUUGAAAUUGAAUGGAAUAUCACAAGUCAAAAUGGUAGUAUUGCUAAUGAUGACUUCUUGAUAUCAAAUGGAACAGUUGCUUUCAUGGAAAAUGAGAACAAAAAGGUUAUUGAAAUAACACCAUAUGAUGAUUCACUUCCAGAGUUAGAUGAAACUUUUUUUGUGAAUAUAAGAAUUCAUUCAGUUGUGGAUCAACCUGUAAAAUCAUUUGCAAUGGUAAACUUUUCACAAUGUAAUAUUACUAUAAAUAAAAGCGAUCAUCCAUUUGGUAUCUUUCAGAUCAUAACCCCAAAUAUAAAUAGUGCAGUAUUGUUAUCAAAACCGUUGAAUGUGAGCAUCAAGGAAGAAAUUACUUUUUUAAGUUUAUAUAUUGUGAGAGUGAUUGGCUUUGAAGGCUCUGUUUAUGUUGAAUGGAGAACUCGUGGUUUUGAUGGAACCAACGAAACAUCUGGUUUGACUGCAAUACCUGGUGUUGAUUUUGAAGAAAGUAUUGGUUUUAUUAAAAUGGGGGUAGGAGAAAAUGUUGCUAACAUUUCAGUGAGAUUAUUUGAUAAUGAAAAACCUGAAUUAACUAAAUUGUUUCUGGUUGAAUUGAAGAAUCCAUUUAAUGCGGAGCUUGGUAAUGGUUCUGUUCUUUUUGUUCACAUACUUCCAAGUGAUGAUGCUCUUGGAAUAUUUUCUUUUCCUAUUGUUGAAUACACUACAUGUGAAGGAUCUUUUUUAAACAUCAGUAUCAAAAGAAGUGGCGGCACAUUAGGCAAUGUUAAAUUAGGAUGGAUUUUAGUGAAUGGAUCAAAUGAGUUUAGUUUAUCUCAAGGUGAAGUUGAUUUUCAAUAUGGUGUCACAGAAAGAUUUAUUCUUAUUCAGGCUGUAGAUGAUGAGAGACCUGAACUGACUGAAGUAUAUCUUAUUCAGCUGUUAAAUGUUAGUGGUGGGUCAAUAUCUUCUAUCAACCAAACUGCUAGUUUAAAAUUACUCAGUAGUGAUUAUCCUUAUGGUUUGAUUGAAUUUGAGAAAAAAUCUAUUGAAAUCGAAGAAAAAAUAACCCACAAUGCUUUUAUCCAAGUAAAUCGAAGUAAAGGUACUUUUGGGCACAUACGUCUUUAUUAUAAUACCAUUAAGGGCUUAAAUAAUCAGUCUAGUGCUACAAUGGGUGAAGACUUCAGUCUAAAUGGGUGUUAUCUCGAUUUUGUAGAUGGUCAGAAGUCUGCUGUUAUUAAUAUCACUAUUAUAGAUGACAAUGAACCUGAGAUGCUUGAAACAUUUCUACUUAACUUAACAGAUGUAGAGAUAAUUUCUGAAAAUAAUACAAAAAGAUUAAAUCUUGAAAAUGUUUUUGCAAGCACCCCUAAUAUGAUUACUAUCAAUAUAUUACCCAAUGAUAACCCAAAUGGUAUUUUAAACUUUCAAUAUGCUAAAGUUCAUGUUUCAGAAGACUAUAAUGACACUUUUUUAUCUGUUAUACGCUCAGAAGGUUUAUUUGGCAGAGUGUCAUUUGGCUAUUCAAUAGAAACUAUAUCUGCUGAAAUCGGAUUAGAUUUUUCUGUUUCAUCAUUUACUAUGAUUAUUGAAGAAAAUCAAAGCAGUAUCAUGUUACCAAUAUUUACAAUAUUUGAUGAGUUACCAGAGUUUAAUGAGACUUUUAUAGUGCGAUUACUUCCUGAUACAUUUUUGGGUGGACUUGUCAUGGGCCUAUUGAAUACAAGUGAGGUUACUAUACUUGAAAACGAUUUCCCUUAUGGUAAGAUAGGCUUUAGUAAACUAGAUGAUGUGAUUGCUUCAGAACCAGAAAUCUUGGAGUCAGGAAUUACAGAUCAAAAAGUAUUUAUAAAAGUUGUUAGGGAAGGAGGCAGCUAUGGUUAUUCACAAAUACGCUGGGUAGGUUAUCCAACAGUGCCAUGGUUUGGGGAUAAUGAUAUAGCUCCUUUAAAAGGUUUUGUGACUUUUUUAACUGGGGAAACCUCACAAAACAUCAUCAUCAAUAUCAUGCCUGACAGUAUACCUGAAAUUAAUGAGACAUACAUAAUUUUAUUAAAAGAAGUUUCUGCCGGAAAUGCAGUUAUUAAUGAUGUAAAAUCAUCAUUGCGUCUGAUAAUUUUAUUAAAUGAUAAUCCUUAUGGCACUGUUAAAUUUAUGGAUUCAGCUGUUGAUGUGUUAGAAGGAGAGAGCGAUUAUAAUGUAACACUGCGCGUCAAUCGAGUUAAUGGAAUGUUUGGUGACUUACGAGUUUUUUGGAGGACAAAUCACUUAAUUAGUUUCAAAGAAAAAGCCACACCUGGUGCUGAUUUUGGAUUCAUACCAAACCAGUUUUUUGUUAUUUCAAAUGCCUCAAGCCAAUCAGAAAUACAAGUUCUUAUUUAUAGUGACGAAGUUCCUGAACUUGACGAAAUGUUUCAAGUUGAACUUUUAGGUGUUGAAGUUGUUGAUGACAAUGUUUUAGUACAGGACAUGCAUGUUAUUGAUGAUAAAAAGUAUGUAAAUAUUACAAUACUUGAAAAUGAUGAACCAUAUGGCAUGUUUGCACUUCAUGGAUUUGGAAUAUCUAAAAAUAAUUAUUCUGUAUUUGAACCUGAAAAUACUAACUUAACACUGGAAUUUUAUAUAAGUCGCAAAAAAGGUGCUUUUAAGAGAGUAUCUGUAUCAUGGCAAGUGAAUAGUACAGAGAUAUCAAAAGAUGAUAUAUGUUGUAAUGGAGAAGUUAUUGUUUUUGAGCAGGAUGAAAGAUUGAAGUUUUUUUCCAUAUCUGUACUUCCAGAUCUCAUUCCUGAAAAUGAUGAAGAGUUCUCAGUUUACCUUUUAAAUUCAACUGAUGGAUCAAUUGUUGAUGGUAACAACUCUUAUAUAAAAGUUAUCAUACUUGCUAACGAUAACUUUGGAGGCAUCAUUCAGUUUUGCAACAAAUCCAUUGUGUUAUCAGUUAAAGAAGGGGAAAAGUUUAGCCUUUGUCUGCAGAGAUCAUUACCUGCAUUUGGAGAUGCUGUUGUUACAUGGAAAAUUAUUGGUGAUAAUGUCACUCAAGAUUUUGUAUCUGAUCAAGGCUUUGCUAAUUUUUCAACGGGGCAGACAAUCACAACAAUCAAUCUGGAAAGUAUUUUGGAUCAGGCUCCUGAAACUGAUGAGUAUUUUGUUGUACGUUUAGUUGCAGUCAAAACAGCUGGUGUUUCAAUUUCAGGUGCUGCUGUUUUAGAUGAAACUUAUCGAGAAUCUUUUCUUACAAUUGCAGAAAGUGAUUUUCCUAAUGGAAUAGUAGAGUUUGCAAAUGACAUUCCAUUGUAUGUGGAUGAGGGUAAAACACUGAAAAUCCUUGUUAUUCGUCAGUUUGGAAAGAUUGGUAAAUUAAACAUAUCUUACAAUGUGAUUACUGCACUAAAUAACAAAACCAUAAAUCAAGCUUCUGUACAAAGUGAUCUUCACAAGCCAAAUACAAUGUUGACUAUCCCUGAUGGAGAAGAUUCUGGUAUUAUUUCAAUUGAAAUUGUUAAUGAUAAUAUACCUGAACUUGAUGAAGAGUUUAAAGUUGAAUUAAUGUCCGUCAGUAUAAGUGGGACUUUCAAAAAUUCAUCGUCUUUAUUGGGUGUCAACAAACAAAAGCGUAUUAUUAUAACAGCAAAUGAUGCACCACAUGGUGUUUUGACAUUUGCUUCCACAUCUUUAAAUUUGGUGGUCAAAGAAGAAAACACAACAUUCAACUUAACUGUAAUUCGCUCAUUUGGCUUGUUUGGUGAUGUUUACUGUUUUUAUUUUUUAAACUAUUUUACGGCUAACUCAAAUGAUUUUUAUAUAAAUGGUGAUGUAAUGAAUGGUGGUCCUGUAAAACUUUUGUUUCUGGAUGGUCAAAGCGAAGCAAAUAUUACUGUCUACAUCAAUGAUGACAACAUUACUGAAAACAAUGAGUUUUUUGAAUUAGGAUUAACCACUCAAAAUGCAAUUAAUAAUGGAGGUGUAGAAACUGGUGUACCUAGCCGUACAUCUAUAACUAUAUUAGCAAAUGAUGAUGCUAAUGGGGUCUUUUUGUUUUCAUCCAAUUCUAGAAACAUUGUACUUUCUGAACCAGAGAGCUUUGAAUUGAUUUACUAUGACUUUGAAGUGGAGCGUUUACAAGGUUUAUUUGGCAAAGUUAUUUUGGAAUGGAGAGCAUAUAAUUCAACAGCAAUAAAUGACAUUUCACCAAUAAGCGGAGUUUUACAGUUUGAGGAGUAUCAAAGAUUUGGAACAUUCCGAGUAUAUGUUUCACCUGAUGACCUUCCUGAAUUAGAGGAAGUAUUCUUACUUGAAUUAAAUGUUUUAUAUGGAGAUGCAAGACUUGGUGUGGUUUCUUGUGCUUUAAUAACUAUUUUAGCAAACGAUUAUCCAUUUGGUUUGUUUUCAUUUUUUUCUGAAAAUACAAUUUAUGUGGAUGAAUCACAAAAAACAGUAAAGGUUGCUGUUGUUCGUAAUCAAGGCACAUUUGGUAAUGUUACGGUAGAGUUUACAACUGAAUCAAAUACUGCUGUGAGUGAAACUGGUAAUCAACCCAUGCUAGGUGUUGAAUUUAACUUCCUUAUAGAUAACGUUUUAGCAUUUCUUAGUUUUAACUUGGCUGGAAAACAACUGGUACUUCUUAGUACACAAGAAAGCACAAAAUUGUUUGAAUGGCGAGGAACAUUUGUAUAUAUUCUUGAUUUACCAUUAAAAAACUUGUCAAAAAUGCUGACUUCUAUUAUUGAUACGGAAACUAUUUUAUUAGUAAAAGAUCAUCUCUCUGUACAAAUUUACUUAUUAAGUAAAGAUUUUUCACUUACUCAUGUUCAAACAAUGCAAGAUGUUGGAAUUUCAGAUGUUUUAAUGUUUAAAAUUAACACAAUUUUGUAUUUAACAAUUACUAGAAAUAAAGAUAAUGAGGGAGAAAGUAUUCUAUGGCUGCAGUUGUAUGAGUGGAGAAAUAAUAUUUUUUUUAAAUUACCAUUUUCUGGGAUUCAAACAUUUUUUGGAGAAUCAAUGGCCUUCAUAUACUUCAAUGGAGAUUAUUAUGUAGCUGUGGCAAAUCAGUUCAAUAGAUUAAGUAAUUCCUACAACAUCAAAUCCUAUGUCUACAAAUGGGAUAUUAAAAAUGGGUAUUUUGUAAUGUAUGGUGAAAUUCAAACUUACAAAGCCAAAGAAAUCAAUUUCUAUGAAUAUGAAAAAAAUUUGUUUGUAACAGUGGUUAACGAUUUGGGAGGUUGCCAGUUGCUGAAGCAUGACAUGAAAAUACAUGAACGGUUUUCUCUUGUGCAGAAGUUUUCUAGGCAGUGUAUUAGUCUAAAAUAUUUACAUUUAAAAAAACAUAUUUUUCUUGUUGUUGUUGGUUCAACUUCAUAUCUUUAUAAAUGGAAUAUGAACAGCUAUUUAUUUGAAUUCCAUAUGAUGCUACCUAUUUCAAAUCUUCAUCUGAUUGAGUCAUUUUACAUAUCUAAUGAAAUGAAAAAUUCUACUCUCCCAUAUUUGGCAGUUUUUUCUUCUAACAGCAGUAGCGUAUUAAGAAUUGAAUAUCUAAAAAAUUCUUCAGAUUUUUUCUUCAGAAGUGACAGGUUAUAUUUUAUGGAAGGUGAAAAAGUUUUGGAAUUUUUUCUUUCAAUUGUUGAUGACGAAGUUCCAGAAUUUGAUGAAAUUUUUAAAGUUCGUCUUCUCAAUUCUUCUGGUGGUUCUUCCAUUUCUUCAAGUUCUUCAAUUAAUAUUGUUAUAAUGUCAAAUGACAACCCUUUUGGAAGAUUUAAGUUUACUGAUUCUUCGUUGCAUCAGAUAAUAGAAGAAUUAGAUAUUGACUCUAUAUUUUUUGUAUGGGUUCAGAGGGAGUUUGGUUGCAAUGGAGUAGUUAAUGUUAGGUUUGACAUUGUUGAUACUACCAACAACAGACAAGAUAAAGUUUAUCCUCAAUAUGGGAACAUUAAAUUUUUUCCUGGUGAUAGUUUAAAAAAAAUUAAUCUGUAUUUAAAAGGAGAUUUUGUUCCUGAGUUAGAAAAAAAAAUUUUGAUAAGGCUAACAGAUAUUGAGACAAUCAAUGGCACAAGCAAUAGUAAGGCUACCAUAAACUACAACAAAAAUAUUGCAUCUAUAAUAAUUCCUGCAAAUGACGAUCCAAAUGGUGUUUUUACUUGGAAAAGUUCAACUUAUGUAAUUACAAAGGAUAAUAAUGUCAGUUCAUUAUUAGUUUUAAAACGAGAUAAAGGGGCAUUUGGUUCUGUAACUAUUCUGUUUGAAACUGUAAUUCCUUUAAAUGUUGGUCCAAGAGAGAGACCAGCCAGACCAUUUGUUGAUUUUAUACCUAUCAAAAGCAAUGUAACUUUUUCAGAAGAUCAGAGAGAAGCCUUUGUUUUUGUUGAAGUAAUUCAUAAACUGGAAGAGAGAAAAAUAAAUGCAACCUUAAAUGAUGGACUUUAUGAUUAUAAUGAAGUCUUUUUUGUAAAUAUUACUGAGGCUUAUUUAACGGUUGAUAAGCAUACUUCUGCAAGUAUUCUAUCCAGUCUUACACAGGUUGUAAUUACUGAGUUAAUUCAGCAAAAUGGAAUAAUAGAAUUUAGUUCUUCACUUGAAUUAUUAGCUGAUGAAAAUAUUGGUACUUUAGAAGUUAUGGUUUCACGAAAUGCUGGUUUUAAUGGAUCGGUUGGUGUUUACUUUGAAGUUGUAUUUGGCACUGCUAGCAAUUAUGAUAUCACACCUGCAUACGGAACAGUAAGUUUAGGUGACAAUCAAAAAAGUGGAUUUAUUCUAAUAAAAGUUGAGAAUGAUAACAUUCCAGAAUUUGAUGAAAACUUUACAAUAGUUUUAACAAAGCCGUUUGGUGGAGCUAAAAUUGGUGCUAUUAACAAUCGCUCUGUAAUAAUAAAAGAAAAUGAUUAUCCAUAUGGCUUGUUUAGUUUGAAAAAACAUGAUCAUAAUAUUGAAGUAGAAGAAGGUGAUAAAGUAAUGCUUUUGGUUUUUCGAGCCUAUGGCAUAAUAGGAGAUAUAAAAAUUAAAUGGAAAUGUAAUGGAACUAACACAAUGAUAUCAUUGCAAGAAGGAACUAUUUAUUUUUUAGAAGGCGAAACUUCAAAAAACAUUAGUUUUGUAGUCAUCGAUGAUGAUAUACCAGAAUUAAGUCAAAUAGUUUUAUGUGAAAUUACUUCAGUUUCAGAUCCUGCAGUGCUUAGUAAUUCUAGUAAAAUUUUUUUUAUUAUUAAAGCAAGUGACAAACCAUAUGGUAUUUAUAUUGUAAAUCCAUUGUCUCGAGUUCAUAUUGGUUUUGAACCAAGUAAUGGAAUAGGAGGAAAAAUUAAUAUUAGUGUUCUGCGUGAAAUUGGACAAGCAACCUUAAGUACAUUAUCUUGGAAAUUUAAUUCCUCAUCACAGUCUAAAGGCAAAGAAACAUUUAAAGAAACAUUUGGGACACUUACUUUCAAAAAAGGAGAAGUGGAAAAGAUAAUUACAUUAGAGAUCCUUGAUGAUGACAUACCUGAAGAGGCGCAAAUGUUUGAAUUAGUACUCUAUAAUCCUACAGAUGGAGCUGAGCUUUCAACUGAUUUAAAUUCAAGUAUUUCUUAUGUUUUUGUUGCUGCUAGUGAUAAUCCCUAUGGUUUGUUUGCAUUUGCCAAUGUUCAAUGGAACGUAGAGGAGAAUGUUGGAGUAAUCAAUAUUCCAGUGUUAAGAUCUGCUGGACUUAUAGGAGGUGUCCAUAUUGGUUAUCAACUUAUUAGCUUAAGUGCAAUACACGGAGAAGAUUACAGUCCAAAAUCUGGAGUUUUAUUUUUCCAACCUCAUGAUACAGCGGAGGUCAUCCAAAUUACUAUCUAUGAUGAUGUUAUUCCUGAACUUGAUGAAAUGUUUAUGGUUAAUUUGACAUACGCUGAACUAGAUCACUUUAUAAAUUUCAAUGAAGUUGUACUAGGAUAUAAGUUAAAUAUACCACCAUUGAUAACUGGCUGCUGCCAAACUUUUCAAAUCAAUGCAAAUGAUGAUCCAUAUGGAGUUUUAGAGUUUCCUGUUAACAAAAUUGUUGUGCGUGAGUGUGACCAUGUUAAAAUACCAGUUGUAAGAAGAGCUGGCUUGUUUACUGGCUCAAAUCUUAGUUUUACCUACUUGCCAUUAAAUGCUACUGAAAAUUUAGAUUUUUUUAUAAAUUCCUCAAUAUUACAGUUUCAUGAAAAUCAAAACUCAUCUUUUAUUGAGGUGUGGUUAGUUGAUGAUGAUGAACCAGAAGAUCAGGAGGCAUUUGAGAUUAGGCUAUUGUCUGUGGUUGGUUUUUCUAAAAUAGGUCAUCAAGACAAACUUCUUGUAGUGAUUGAAUCAAGUGAUAACCCAAAUGGGCUAUUUGGUUUUUACAAUUUACAAAAAACUGUUUAUGUACAAAAUCCAUCACAAGUUACUGUGUUGUGUUUUAAUUUAUCAAGAAUAGAUGGGAUAGCAGGAAAAGUUGUAGUUGAAUGGAUGGUUGAAAAUGUAGAUCAAUCUCCUGUGUUAGAAGAUGUUUCACCUGACAGAGGUUUUGUAGUGUUUGAGGAUAAACAAAGUGGAACUAAAGAGCUGAAAAUUUCAAUUUUGCCUCAUCUUGACGAUCAUGAACUUGAAGAACAGUUUGUAUUACGUUUGGUGAACAUAUCAGGUGGAGGGAAAAUUCAAUCUACAGCUGAUUCUUUGAUUAUUGUUGUUAAAAAAAAGGGUUACCCUAAUGGUUUGUUUUCUUUCAUACAAACAUUGAUGGAAGUUAAAGAACCAACAACUGGUUUCAAUAUUGUUAAGAUUAAAGUGGUGAGGGAAUUAGGAUUAACAGAUGUGGUUGAGGUGUCAUGGUCAAUAGUUCCAGUCUCUAAUGGAAGCAGCUUUGAUGAUUUUACAUUCAAUUCUAGUUCAUUAAAGUUUUUAAAUGGAGAGAGUUCUAAAUUUAUUUAUAUAAACAUAACAUCUGAUCACAUACCAGAAAUAAAUGAGACAUUUUAUCUAAUGUUGUUAUCCGCAACUAAUUUUGGAGAAAUUCAAAAAAAUGCUAGUGUGUUGGAAUUAGUGAUUCUUGAAAACGAUGAUCCUUUUGGAGUAUUUAAACUUUCAUAUGUGACAUUGUUAAUUAAGUCAGGUGAAAGAUUCAUUGACUUGGCAGUUGAACGGAACAAAGGAACAUUUAAUGAAGUAAAAGUAUUUGUUCUCAUAACCUUUAUGAACAAUACAAUAUUUAAUGCUGAACUUUAUUUUCAAGAGGGAUGCUCCUAUUUAAAUCAAGUUAUUAAGUUUAACAAUAGUCUCUUUUUUUCAAAUGGUUCUAUUUUGAGUAUUGAGGUAAUAAAUGUUGUCCUAAUUACCGAGAAACUGACUUUGACUUCUCCUCAAAUUAAUUGUACAACCUCAAGAAGAGAAUUAUCUAUUCCGGAAAUUAUGUCUAACUCUGUUGUUAAUAUCUUUCCAAGUUUUACAUUAUUAAGCAAUGGAAGUGUUUGUGUUUAUUUAACAAGAAUUGGUUUAUUUUCAUCAAUUGUUGUAAAUAUAAAGACAUCUGUUUUUACAAAUAAAUAUGAAUUUAUAGAUGGUCUUCUGAAACCUUCUUUUCAAUCAAUAACUAUGCCUCAUGGUACAAAAGAAGUCCUAGUAUCAUUUAAUGUUGUAGUUCCAGAUAGAAUUACUGAACCAUUAAAUUACAAAAUGUUUAUAAGCAACUUACAACCAAAACCAAAUCAGUUAGGUUGGCCUACUCUUGGUCUUCAUUCUGAGUCAGUGAUUGAUCCUCAUGGUAUUGUACAAGUUAGCAGGACUUGUCUUGAAAUAUCUGUUGCAGAGGGAGGGUUUAUUGAAAUUGUUAUAGAGCGUAUUCUUGGGGCACAAGGCAAAGUAAGAGUUUUUUAUGAAACAAAAGCUUGUAUUUUGAACCCAGCAUUACCUGGUAUUGAUUUUAUUGAAAUUAGCUCAUUUAUUGACUUAGAAGAUGGGGAAAUCAUAAAAAAGAUUCCAUUAUCCACUAUUGAUGAUAUUUUAUUCCCAUUACCAGAAGACCGGAAGUGUUUUCAGUUUUUAUUAAUUUCUGUACACCUGAUUACAACUUCACUUACAAAUAGUUCUCCAAGAUUAUCUUUCAAUAAUGCAUCAACUGUUUUCAUAGAAGAUAAUGAUUUUCCAUAUGGAUUUUUUUCAUUUACAAAUUCAACAUUUGAUGUAUUUGAAUCAAAUAUAGGUUUUGCAGAAAUAGAAGUUAAGAGAUUAGGUGGAUCAUUUAGUGAUUCAAAGGUUGAGGUUGUGAGCAUUGGUGGUGGAGAAAGUUGGUCUGAUGAAGUUCUAAAGAGUUUUGCAAAUCAGAGCAUUGAUAUGAAUAAAGAAUCAUUUAAAAUAAAGUAUCGGGCAUCUGCUGGAUCUGAUUAUGCGGUUGUCAAGACAACUUUGGUGUUUCCAAAAACCGAUUUACUGAACUUAAAUGGCCAAGUUCAAAAAGUCAAUGUUCGAAUUUUCGAAGACUAUGUUUCUGAGCCUGAUGAAGUUUUUUUUUUAGCUUUAAGCAAUGCUACUGGAGGAGCUCAAAUCAUGUCACAUUUUAUCACAUCUGUCAAUAUAAAAGCUAGUGGGUUGAUUGGUGGUGAAGUGGGGUUCAAACAAAAGGUUGCUGAAAUAGAUGAAGAUGGAGAUCAAAGUUUAAGUUUAGUAAUUUCAAGAUUUGGGGAAUCACUUGAAAAUGUCACUGUAUCCUGGAUGAUUUAUCAUCCUUUUGAUCUCAAGGUUUUGAGUCAGUUCAAAGAAAAAUCUGGAAAAAUUAUUAUACCAGCAGGUAAGCAUGAGGGGUUAUUGAGGCUUUCUUUAAUUCCUGAUGAUCAUCCAGAAACACUUAAUUGGGCAUUAGUUAAUAUUACUGGAGUUUCUAAAGGUGCAUUUGUACGAAAGUUAGAUUCAGCUGUAAACAUAACACUAUUAGAGAGUGACGCUCCUGCUGGAAUUGUUGGAUUUGAUAUUCAAUCAAGGUAUUCAGCUGUAGAUGCAAAAGAAAAUUAUGUUACUUUAAUUAUAAGUAGAUACAAUGGAACAUUAAAAAAUAUCUCCAUCACAUACCAAACCUUGGUUGUGAAUAAUGCUGUUAAAGAUGCUGGCAUAGUUUUUUAUCCAGCUGUUGUGGGAAGUGAUUUUCAGCACAUAAAUGGCAACAUUAAUAUGGAUAUAGGACAGUUGUCUGCAAAAAUUAUUAUAAAGCUUUCACCCGAAAAAGCCUUACUUACAUUAUACCCAAAGAUUUUCAAUGUUGUAUUAGAAACUGCAACAAAUGGUGCUAUUCUCCAUAAAGAUUAUUCAAAUGCAGUAGUUGUUAUUUCUACGGAAAAUGCACAAUUUUUGAAGUUACGUUCUACUUUAUUCAAUUUACCUAUGUUAGAUUCUCAAAUUUCUUUAGUUUUGUCAUCAAUUUUAAAAAGUCUUUUAUCUAAAGUCCCAUCUUAUGAAGAUCAGCAGGUAAUUAAAACAACAAUAGAGGAGAUUCUUAAUUUUAAAAACUCUGAAAAACAAGGGUACAAGCGCAUUAACAAAGACUCUAUAGGUAAUCUUCUUCAGAUUUUUAAUAUACUUCUUGAUUCUCGGUGUUCAGAGUCCAAAGGAAGAUCAUUUUGGGUUAAAAAUUUAGAAAACUUUGCUUUCCAUUUGUUAAAUGAUUUACCGUGUUCAAGUUCAGUUUUUUAUAAACUGUCAAACUAUGAUUUAAAGGCUUACAGAAUUAAUAGUACAAUAUUAGAAGGUUUUGUCUUAAAAGAUGGGUAUAGUUCCUUAAGAUACUCCAAUAGUGAGUUUUCUAAUAACCAUGAAUUGAACUGUUUGAACUUACAGUUUUUAGUUUUAAAGAAUUCUCAUUUGUUUAUUUCAGAUAAAAAUGUUCUCAAUAACAAGAUUAUGUCAUCUUCUGUUAUAUCAGGUUUAAAUCCUGACCAGAAAGUUAUUUUUCGUGUUUAUACCUCUAAAAAGCGUGUCACAAGUGUUUUAGCAAAAUGUGUGAUAUGGGAGCAUGCUGCUUCUGGAAAUGGAUUUUGGUCACCCACGCAUUGUAGGCUAGUUUUGCAAAAUAAAAACUUUGUUGAAUGUGAGUGUGACCACAUGUCAGAGUAUGCUGUUUUGGCAUCUAGCGAUAACAACACUGGUUUUGAUAUAUACUUUUUUGUUGCUUGCUUUUUUACUGGAGGUGCAUGUUUUUUUGCAUUGCUUGGUCAUCACUGCUGCUCUAUAGAAAAGACAUUUACCUCAAAUCUAUUAAUGCAUAUGUUUUUUGCUGUUAUGACUAUAAAUAUUUUAUAUGCAGUUGGUGCAUACCUGAGUCCUACAUUAUUUUAUGAUCAUGAGGCAUGCAGCGUUUUAGGUGCAUUUCUUCAUUAUUUUUUUUUGGCUCAGUUUACAACAAUGUUUGCUCAGACUUGCAACUUAUGGCGCAUCCUUGUAAUGAAUGAUGAACACAGUUAUAGAAAAUUUAUCAUUUUUUUUCUUAUUGGUUGGGGUUUUCCGUUUGUUAUUAUUAUCUGCUAUGUUUUUAUAACAUAUGCUAUUUGGGGAUGGAGUUUUGUUAAAAUGUACGCAGAUGUCCAUAUUGAUGGUGAUAUGUGCUUCAUUCCUCAAGCUUAUGCAGCUUUUUCAGUUGCUGUUAUUCCUGUUUUGCUGCUUAUAUUAGCAUCAAGUAUAGUUUUUGUGCAAGCCUACCAACUUACUCCUCAAUGGAAGUCUUAUGACGAUGUGUACAGAGGACGUUAUAAUAUAAAAGAAGUGCGUCAUGUCAUGAUUCUCUUUGCUUUAAUUUCAACAACAUGGUUGUUUGGUGGAUUACAUUUAGCAUACAGAUAUAUGUGGAUGAUAAUAGCUUUUACAUUUUUUAAUGUUAUUACACUUAUGUGAAAAAAUUGUCUUUCGAUGACCAAACGAGGCUUGCAUGAUCAAACGAGGUUACCAUGACCAAACGAGGCUUGCAUGACUAAAAGAGGCUUGCAUGAGGCUUAUAUAUUCUGUUUGUUUAUGCAAUUUUUCGAAACCAAAUGCGCCAUAUUACUAAAGGAGAGUAUGAUGUGAAGCAAACCGAAGAUAAUAUGGAGCUACCUAAUAUUAUUUAUAGAUCACCUGAAUUAAAAAC
rnacentral:misc_RNA from 1 species